GUCACAUCUUGAACCAGUGAUUAAGUGCCUGAUUGGAAGGCAGGGUCAACCCAGGGGACCUCAGGUGCAUGCAGUGCAUCUGAGUGACAGGAAGACCUGAUGGAUUCUGGCUCCACCCCUUCCCAGACCUCAUUUAAGGGUUGGCAGUGGAGGCAAGGGUGUCUUGCUGGAUACUGCUGCAUACUUGAGGUUUUUAGAAGGUAAGCAGCUUCCUUACUUUAUUUCUGUAGCAGUUGCAUUUGAGUAAAUCCUUGUUUGUAGCCUGGGACCUUGCUGCUCUAUUGUCAUUGAUUUACUUUCUUUUGUGUUACAACCAGCUCAUCUGUGUUUUUUUUUUUUUAAUGCUGUAGGAUUAAAGAGUGCUUGUGACAAGAGAAAACAGAUCUCCCUUUUUUGAUUCUGUGGGUGAAAUGGCCAGAGCAAGGAGAAGAGGUUUCUGAAGCUCCUGCUACUCUGUCAAUUGUACACAAGGACAAAGAAACAGUAUGGCAGCUGACCUAUGCCUCAUCACCUGCACACAGAACCUCAAAGUUGAGCAACAGAUGGCCAGUAGCUCUCAGUCAACAGGAUUCAGAAGCAAGAGAGCAGCCUCACUGUUAAGUAACAGCAGCUGCUUUACGAAGAGACUGUAUUUCAACUUGAGGGGGAAUGACACAUGCCUAGACCACAACUUCAGUUGGCAGAGACACCAUCUCUGUUCCACUGUAACACUUCCCUAAAGUUCCCCCUUCCAGAGGGAAAGAGGAAUUUGAGGAAAUUUUCUUUAUAUCACUGCGCUUCUCUCUUCAUUAUGAAGGUUCAGCACAUCUGGUGAACAAGAAAAGUUUUGUGGGGGCCCAGCCAUUUCCUGCAAGGCUAUGAUGUGUUUUGUCCUGUCACUGCACUGAUCUGCAAGUGACACCGAGUUGAGCUGCUCAAUGCGCCUGCAGAAUCUGCGUGUAUUACAGAAGUCAUGGGAAGAAAAAAGCAGAGCAAAACUUGUUUCUGGAGAGAAGAAAAAGUGCUACAAAAGGCAUUAAAAAAAAGAAGAAGAAGAAGAAGAAGAAGCACUCCUAUUAUUUCCUUUCUGAAAAACCACUUUGGAUUUUAAGCUCAAAAUGACUUUUCAUAUUUGAAAUCCCUGUAGGAAUAUCAUGUCACCAUAUUUUUAUAAUUGAAAAAGUAUGAUGUGUUGCACAAAGUCCCAGCAGAAAUGUUCUGUUUCAGCCUCAACUGUUUUAUCUUUCACUUCUUUAUUUUCAGACGUUUCCAAAGAGAUCUAUCGCUAUAACUCCAAAAACAAACUGUACAUUUUAAAUGCUGAAACUCAUCUCUCCCUCACUCAUCCUGCUUCAUCCCCCUUGCAGCCGGCUGCUAGCACUGAUGCACUGCAAGGUUUACCCUAAGAGCAAGCUCUCGCUAUCCUGGCAGCACGCUGGCCACAUCUGAGCAGUGCUGCAGUUUGGGGUAACAUGCAGCCCAGCACAAAGCAGCAUCCGCUAGAAAACAAAAUCUGCUCAUUUCAUACAAAUUCUGGAAGUGUUCAUUUACCCCAGCUAUUUCUUGAAAAAGACUAACAGAAGGGUGGAGAUAGAGCUGGGGGUUACGGAGUAAACAGUUUGGAACAGAGCAAGGUUGGCUGGUGAGCACGCUGUGACUCACAAGGGGAAGGCUUUUUUUAAUCCCCGGAGCCGUGCAGCAAGGACAGCCGUGCAGUCAUCUUCCUGUACCAAACAAAGGUGCAGCCCGCGGGUGCAGCCCCAACCCAGGGACAAUGGGACACGGGCUGUUGUCCUGGCCCACGGCACCCAACGAUCCCACAGCCAGGAGGCUGCUGUAACACUGGGGCUGAGCGAGUCAAGCCCUGUCCCCUCUCAGGGGCACUGAGAGAUGCAGAUCUCAGAGACUAUUUGGGGAAAAUACCUUAUCUCAGCCCAUUAUUGCCUCUGCUUAAUAUAAACAGUGUUCUACUCCGUGCAUUGAAAGUUUUCUUAAACCAAGGAAACUAGAAAUAAAUACCUCAUUGUCUAGAGGAUUUUAUCACUGUGGUAUGAAAGAAAACCAGCGUGUGACUGUUUUCCAGCAAUAAACCUCUUUCAGACUCAGGAAGGAUAGUUUUGAUUUUUGAAUUUAUUGCUCUCACAGUUG
ensembl:lncRNA